UGGGGAAUAUUGCACAAUGGGGGAAACCCUGAUGGUGCGACGCCGCGUGGGGGAAGAAGGUCUUCGGAUCGUAAACCCCUGUCAUGUGGGAGCAAGCAGCGAUGUAGAUAGUACCACAAGAGGAAGAGACGGCUAACUCUGUGCCAGCAGCCGCGGUAAUACAGAGGUCUCAAGCGUUGUUCGGAAUCACUGGGCGUAAAGGGAGCGUAGGUGGACUUUUAAGUGAGAUGUGAAAUACUCGGGCUCAACCUGAGAACUGCAUUUCAAACUGGAAGUCUAGAGUGCAGGAGAGGUAAGUGGAAUUCCUAGUGUAGCGGUGAAAUGCGUAGAUAUUAGGAGGAACACCAGUGGCGAAGGCGGCUUACUGGACUGUAACUGACGUUGAGGCUCGAAAGCGUGGGGAGCAAACA
rnacentral:rRNA from 1 species